UGGGGAAUAUUGGACAAUGGGGGCAACCCUGAUCCAGCCAUGCCGCGUGCGUGAAGAAGGCCUUAGGGUUGUAAAGCGCUUUCACCCGUGACGAUGAUGACGGUAGCGGGAGAAGAAGCCCCGGCUAACUCCGUGCCAGCAGCCGCGGUAAUACGGAGGGGGCAAGCGUUGUUCGGAAUUACUGGGCGUAAAGGGCGCGUAGGCGGUUCGAUCAGUCAGGCGUGAAAGCCCCGGGCUCAACCUGGGAUGUGCGUUUGAUACUGUCGGUCUAGAGGAUGGAAGAGGAGAGUGGAAUUCCCAGUGUAGAGGUGAAAUUCGUAGAUAUUGGGAAGAACACCAGUGGCGAAGGCGGCUCUCUGGUCCAUGUCUGACGCUGAGGCGCGAAAGCGUGGGGAGCAAACAGGAUUAGAUACCCCCGUAGUCC
rnacentral:rRNA from 1 species